UGUAGCGUAAUCAAUAGCCAAUUAAUUGUUGGCCGGUAUGAAUGGCAUUACGAAGGCCCCACUGUCUUAAGAGGACUCUCCAUGAAAUUGAAUUCGUAGUGAAGAUGCUACGUCCAUAUUGUAAGACGAAAAGACCCCAUUGAGCUUUACUAAAGACUUGUAUGGCUCGAGAUAACUUAAAUAAAAAGUUUAGAUAAUGUGGGAUCCGUUUUUGGUUAAUGAAACACCACUCUUUUAUUUUAAGAGAGCUAACCUUGUAGGGAGAAUGCAAGUUGGAUAGUUUGGUUGGGGCGACCACCUUUUAAAAGGUAACGAAGGUGAGCUUAAGGUCCGUAGUUAAUAACUAGUGGCCUGACUGCAAGGGAGACAUCCCGAGCAGACACUGGGACUCUCUCAGUGGGUUAUAAUGACCCGUCAUCUUAGAGUGGAAUA
rnacentral:rRNA from 1 species